CUUGGUUUAGAUAAAGAGGAUACCUAUCUGGACUAUGGAACCUGCCUAGAAAGAACUCUAUCCAGUUACCCUUACAACCCCAGUUGCUGUGAAAGUAGCUGGUGUCAUCCCUUGGAUCCAUCACUCCCAAAGAAAGAAGGCUGCUGAGGAUGAUGACAGAUGAACCAUGACUUGGACUUCAAACUCUUCAAUGGGAGACCCUUAACUCACACCGGAGGCGAACACAUGAGGAGCUUCAAAAUUUGCUGAAGAGACUACAG
rnacentral:lncRNA from 1 species